CGAUGAAUUUAGUGGUUCGUGUCAUAAACCACAACAUGAACACUGUCGAGUCGUCUAUGGUCGUCUCGUCUUUUGGAAAGAGUUUUAAAUUACAGUUGCUUAUUGAUUAUGCGAACAACCCGGAUAGAGUACAGUCGAUUGGUGUAUAGCGGAUUUUAGUGAGUAACGGAUAGAGUGUAUUAUACUGAGCAAAAAAGUGAUUUACGUGUAUUAAGGCAAACAAUCUGUCAUAAGGAAAAGAAUGGCUGCAGCCUUCGACCGUGUGGAAGUAACGAAUAUAGACGACUUGAAACCUGGUGAUGCAGUAAUCUUCAACCUCGAGAGUAACACUCAGGAAGGUAUAGUAACCGUGGUCUCACCGCAUAGGGCAGAUAAACAACUUGGCCUCGUUGAUGUUGUUAAUUAUCAACAAACACCGAAAGGAAUUACCACAGUUAUUGAGAAAGCAAUGUUUUUCGAUUUGCAUAAACAUACAAUUAUCCAAAAAGCAUACGUGAAUUCUUUCGAUGCUACCACUGUCAUCGCAAGAGCCAGAUCGCGGAUCGACGAAAGGCGUUAUGACAGUAAAGAAAACUCAAAUCGCCAUUUUGUGGAAUGGGCAAAGGUUGGAUAUGAAAGUAACCUGCUGGUAGUAUCUCCACAUUUUAGCAGUGAACACCAAUUAGUGAAUCUUUAUAACGCAUACAGCUGGUUUGAUAUAGAACGAGGUUCCAUAAUUGACUUUCUCUAUUAUGGAAUACGACAUCAAGGUGUAGUUACACACGUAGACAAGGAGAACAGCCAGGUCAAGGUGAUCCAUUACGGAACAAACCAUAUAUUUGCUACACGCACCGUCAUUAGAGACACCAUACACAUUGAUUUUAAAACACAAUUGAUAAGGAUUUAUCGUUGCAAUCAAUCAGACAAAUGUAAUAAACCUAAUGACGUCGCUACAAAAGCUGAAAAGAGGCUUGGCGAGCAAAAAUGGAACGUGUUUUGGCUUAGAUCGUGGUCAUUCUGUCUUCAAUGUCUGUUCAAUUAAACUUUCGAGAUCAUCUGCGGAUCUAUAUGACUGCACCAUGUGAACAAACCUACUUUUGCAACACCUAACUGUUUUUGGCUGUGCUUUUGUCAUUUGAGUUGUUGGUAAAUGUGUUAAUAUAAUAAGGUGAUAUCUAAAUGCGAUAAGUUAGUAUAGUAUAAACACGGUUGAAGUAAACAAAAAAGGUACGUUUAAUGGCUUUACAUCACUGGGAAAGCCAUUCAUUGAUGCGAAAAUUGCCGCAAUGCAUGUAAGAUGGCGUCAUAUGAAUCAUUUAAAUAAACCCAGAAAAUAGUCAUUUACAUUACCGGAUAUGAGUGUGGAAAUAAGAAGUGAAGGCAAACUGAUUUUUGGUCUUAAGUCUCACGUUUGUUUCGUUUUUUAUUUUCCUUCUUACUUAGUCUUUGCAUGGGUGAAAAUUAAUAUGUAUAUAGAACUAUGUUUAUCGCAUGCAACUCCUUGUUUUCUAUGUAAUAUAACCAUAACGAAUUAUUUGUAUCUUAAAUAUGUGUAACGCUGUUUAGCUUUUUUAUUGGCUAAUUUUGUUUAAUAUUGACCAUAACAAUUUUUUUUUAUCUUAAACAUGUGUAAUGCAAAUUAAGAAACCAUGAUUUGUUUAUUACAUGUCGGACGUUACAUUUUUUAUUAUAAAACACAGAGGGCCAAGACGUGAGAAGUCUAAUAAUGAUCUAAACUCUUCAAAGUUAAGUAUGAAAAAUUAAAAUUACAGACUAGGCCAUAGCAUGCUCGACUAUCCGUUUAAACACAUAAUGUUCUUCGUAUGAUAUGCAUCUGCUAAGAUGGUGUAAAUAAUAUAAGUAACUUCAGUGUUGUAACCUGAAUUAUGAAUAUAUCCGUUAAACUUUGAGAGUUUUUAUCCAUACGGAUUUUCUUGCUACACAAAAUCGAAAGAAAACUAAUCCGAUUUCCAAUGUAAAAAAAUAAUAAACAUAACAGAUGACGAUCGAAGUACUAUUUGUUUGCAAGGUAAGAGAAACUUAUUGUAACAUUUUGUAUUAAAAUAUGUUGCUAUUUCUGAAUUGUUUUAAGUUGUCUCCUAGAUGAAUUGCAAUGGUAGCUGAUUCUUUAUGUUUAAAGCUUGUUUAAUUUUCAUUUAGGGAAUUGUCAGUCUAACUUUUAAUGGUUUUGUGCCAAGAUUCAUCGCGCAAGUUGCCAUUGUAACAUAAUUAUAUUGUCUGGCAACCGGAUACAAUUGAUGGAUAGUUUAUUUGUAUAGCUGUUCUAAAGCAACAAGGUUAUUGCUUUCAAACUUCAAAUACUUUCAUGCUAUUACUUUAAAACUUUGCAAUUGAGAGACGAGUAGUGUAACUGGAUACAUAAUUGAUGAAAUGUUUGCACAAAUAAGCGGAGUUUCCCGUUGUGUUUUAUCUGUACAUCUAGGCAUAAUCCCGCAAAAGGCACAUUGUGAAUUAAUAAACGAAGGUUUAUUUUUCUGACCGCUAUAACAAAAGAUUGAUAUUGUAUAUUGCUGUGCACACGUAUCUGAUAAAGGGAUAUUGGUUCAAAAGUAGUUUUCGCGUUUGUGAAAUAUAAAAUCACAUUCCCUAUUA